GACUGCAAAAGAGUGUGUGUAAAGAUAAUUUUAAACUUGUUACUUUCAAACUGUAUAAAAAGCUACGGUAUUUCUUGGCUCAGCGGAGUGCACUGGGGAGAACACCUGCCCCUUUGCAUUCCCCGGCCGUAAUAAAAGUGCUUUUCAGAUUGGCAGAGGUUUCUUUGAAUCAAUUUGGCGACCCAGAUGGGACUGAUUUCUGCUCGCCGGUGAGGACCCUCCGGAACCGGGGACCCUCUGCGCGCCCCGGGACGUUACUCCGGUGAGGCUCCCCGGGCUCCGCUGGAUCACCACGGGAGUAGAUGAAGACCCUGUGCACAGCCACAGAUAUCGGGAGAAGUACCACCAGCAAUCUAUGACCAAAUCUACCCAGGGGUUUUGGCUGACACACUCAACCUGUAACAGUAAGAUUAAAACCUGGGACACGGCCGAUUUAAAAGAUGCCUUUUUCUGCUUGCCUUUGGACCCUAAAAGUCAAAAAUUUUUUUUGCCUUUGAAUGAGAAAACCCGGAUACAGGACAAAUAUGGACUAAUAGUCAAACCUCUAUACCAGAUUCUACAAGAUGGAGAUCAACAAUUAACAUGGACUGGAGAAGCUAAGCAAGUUCCAUCGGCUUAAGAAGGAACUGAUGCAGACACCUGCACUGGGCCUCCCAGAUGUAACGAAACCUUUUUUUUCUCUUUUUGCAUGAAAGGCAGGGAAUUGCACUGGGAGUCCUGGCCCAGCAGGUUGGACAAUAUCGCCGAACAGUGGCAUACUUCUCUAAACAGUUAGAUGAAGUGAGCAAAGGAUGGCCAGGAGGUCUGAGGGCCAUAGCUGCAGUAGUACUGAACAUACA